rnacentral:rRNA from 1 species
CUACGGGAGGCAGCAGUGAGGGAUAUUGCGCAAUGGGGGMAACCCUGACGCAGCAACGCCGCGUGGGCGAAGAAGGUCUUCGGMUCGUAAAGCCCUUUUCUCUCGGACGAGGAAGGACGGUACGGGMGGAAUAAGUGUCGGCUAACUACGUGCCMGCAGCCGCGGUAAMACGUMGGAGCGCGMGCGUUAUCCGGMAUUMUUGGGCGUAAAGGGCGUUUAGGCSGCSUCUUAAGUUGSGCGUSAAAUCUUCCGGCUCAACCGGAAGGGGCCGUCCAAUACUGGGACGCUUGAGGGCAGCAGGGGGAGGUGGAAUUCCCGGUGUAGCCCUGGAAUGCGUAGAUAUCGGGAGGAACACCAGUGGCGAAGGCGGCCUCCUGGGCUGUACCUGACGCUGAAGCGCGAAAGCGUGGGGAGCGAACGGGAUUAGAUACCCCGGUAGUCCACGCCGUAAACGAUGGAUACUAGGUGUUGGUGGUAUUGACCCCAUCAGUGCCGGCAGUAACGCGUUAAGUAUCCCGCCUGGGGACUACGGCCGCAAGGCUAAAACUCAAAGGAAUUGACG